CUGUAAUUCUGAACGCAAACUACAGACAUGAAUAAUGCCAAAGAAAAUCAUGAUGGGACAGCGAGACAAGCAGAUAGUAUGGACCCAGAUGAAACGUCUGGUUGGAACAAGUUGAAUAUUAAGUCCGCCGUGUCACAGUGACCCCUGCACAGCCUGGGCCAAGAACUCAGUGUGUCAUGAGACACAGGUGAUCUCAGGAUCAUUGACGGACUUCAGUCCAAAACGGGCCAUCAUCUGCUCAUACACUGUCCACGCCAUGGCUGCAAUCAUGGUCCUCCUCAGUGCCCGAAGAACCGCC